UACGUAGGUGGCAAGCGUUGUCCGGAUUUACUGGGCGUAAAGAGCGCGCAGGCGGCUGGUCAAGUCCGAUGUGAAAUCUCCCGGCUUAACUGGGAAACUGCAUCGGAAACUGAUCGGCUUGAAGGUGGGAGAGGGUAGUGGAAUUCCCGGUGUAGUGGUGAAAUGCGUAGAUAUCAGGAGGAACACCGGUGGCGAAGGCGGGUCUCUGGGCCGAUACUGACGCUGAGGAGCGAAAGCGUGGGGAGCGAACAGG
rnacentral:rRNA from 1 species